CGGACGGGUGAGUAAUGUCUGGGAAACUGCCUGAUGGAGGGGGAUAACUACUGGAAACGGUAGCUAAUACCGCAUAACGUCGCAAGACCAAAGAGGGGGACCUUCGGGCCUCUUGCCAUCGGAUGUGCCCAGAUGGGAUUAGCUAGUAGGUGGGGUAACGGCUCACCUAGGCGACGAUCCCUAGCUGGUCUGAGAGGAUGACCAGCCACACUGGAACUGAGACACGGCCCAG
rnacentral:rRNA from 1 species